rnacentral:lncRNA from 1 species
AUUUCAAUUAAUUAAAAUAUAUGAUUAUUAAUUUGUAAAAUAAUAAAAUUAUAACUAAAUAAAUAUAUUAUUAAUGUACAUUAUAAAAAAUAAUUUUUUUAUAAAAAGUUAUAUGCAUAUGAUAUAUAUUAACAUUUUAUACACCACAGCUCAUAUUAGACAAUAAAUAUUUUGAUAUCAAAAUUUAAUUAAACAUAUAUGAUCUACAAAGUUAAUAAUUUAAAUUCUAUUGAAUGAAUUAAAUUUUUAAACCUCUAUUAAAGUAUUUUAAAUAUAUGAUAUAUGUACACAUAUGCACCCGGUGUACGUACAUAUACACUCGGUGCAGAGAAUACUUAAUUUAAUACACUCAUAAUUUCAAGAGAGAAAGUAAAUUUUUUCUUGCACCUAUAUAUACUAAUGCUUCAUAGGUACAGUAUAUUAAAUAAUUAAUAAAAUAUGAUAUUGCGGAGAGAUUGCGUUUCGUGUCGUAAAAACUACGAUUGGAAAAUAUCUUGUUUGUUGACCGUACGUAAUAUUGCGUUCCGUAUAUUCACGAUUAGUCAGUUACAAUAUAUUUUAUGCAGUUCUACCGGAAAACAUAGAAGCAGAUCCCAAAAUGCUUUUAUUCCAACUUCAUUUUAACUAGUAGCAUCAGAUGAGCGUCAAUGCCAAAUUAAGCCUUACUAAUUUGAAGACUAAAAGUAUAAGCAACUUGAUCAAAAUAUUUGUUUAAAAAAAAUCUGAAACAAUCAUCACGGUUCUAAUUAAUUUGAAGACCAAAAGUGUAAUUAUUCCAAAUGGAGAUAGAGUUGAGUAGGGGUGGAAACGAGCCGAGCUUGAGCGAGCUUACCUCGGCUCAAAUUAGGCUUGAAAUUAAUUUCGAGGCUAAAUUUAAACUCAAGCUUGGAUUGAAAUUAAUUCGAGCCGAGCUCGAGCGAGCCUAAUUUCGAGUCGAGCGAGCUCGAGCCCUAAAUGAGCCACUUGAAAUUCUCAACAUCAUACGAUCAAUAGUUUAAUUUGUAUAGAACAUUAUUUAUAAUUUGAUACAAAAAUAUAUCUAAUAAUUCGAUACAAAAUAAUUAUAUGAAAUAUAGUAUUAUAAUAUGAAGAAAAAUAAUUUAUAAGUUGAAUAUCUAAUCUUUUCAGCCUCACAUGUCUUCACUUCUGCCUUCAAUCUCCAUAUUAUUCAUUUUCAUUUAUGCGGUCAAAAAUAAAUAAAUUAUAUAGAUAAAUAUUGGAUUAAACUAUCCAAUCAUAUAUAACUAAAAUUAAAAUUUUAUAUGAAUAAUAAUUUUUUAUUUUAGAAAUAUUCUGUAUAUUUUCUCAAACAUACAAUUAAUAGUAAGGUAGGUAACGGCGGGCAUAUACUGUUACUUGGUAACUUGGAGGGUUCCGACUUGGCCACUUAGGAUGAGAAACAAAAAAAGAGAAAGAGAGAAACAUAUUGAAAAUUUAGAGCUCUGUGAAAGAAAGAAAGAAAGGAAAAAUGUAUAAAUUUAGUAAAAUUUUGCUCUUUUAUUUAUCUAUUGAGUUUGUUUUUAUGGGCCAACAACAUUGGCCCAAUUUUAACUAAACUGAGAUUAUUCACUCAGCCUAUAUAUAAUUAAAAUAUAUUAUAUUUAUAUAUUUUUUAAUAUAUAUAUAUAUAUAUAUAUAUAUAUAUAU